GUCCUUUAGAUGUAGAAUUUAAGGUCUGAUCUGCCCACUGAAAUAAUUAAAUGGCCGCAGUAAUUUGACUGUGCAAAGGUAGCAUAAUCAUUAGUUUUUUAAUUAAAAGCUUGUAUGAAGGGUUGGACGAAAUAGAAUCUGUCUUUAAUUAAUAAAUAGAAUUUAAUUUUUAAGUUAAAAAGCUUAAAUAUUAAUAAAAGACGAGAAGACCCUAUAGAUCUUUAUUAUAAUUUAAAUUAAUUUUAUUUAAGAUUAAUUAAUUAAUUAUUUUAUUUAUAAUUUUAUUGGGGUAAUAAAAAGAUUAUAGGAAUUCUUUUAUUAAUUUACAAAGAUUAUUGAUUUUUUGAUCCAUUUAUAGUGAUUAUAAGAUUAAGUUACCUUAGGGAUAACAGCGUAAUUUUUUUAGAGAGUUCUUAUCGAUAAAAAAGUUUGCGACCUCGAUGUUGGAUUAAAAUUUAUUUUAGGUGUAGAAGUCUAAAGUUUUGGUCUGUUCGACCAUUAAAAUUUU
rnacentral:rRNA from 1 species